UACGUAGGUGGCAAGCGUUGUCCGGAUUUACUGGGCGUAAAGAGCGCGCAGGCGGUCGUUCAAGUCGCGUGUGAAAGCCCCCGGCUCAACUGGGGAGGGUCACGCGAUACUGAUCGACUCGAAGGCAGGAGAGGGUAGUGGAAUUCCCGGUGUAGUGGUGGAAUGCGUAGAUAUCGGGAGGAACACCAGUGGCGAAGGCGACUACCUGGCCUGUUUCUUGACGCUGAGGCGCGAAAGCUAGGGGAGCAAACGGG
rnacentral:rRNA from 1 species